GGGUGAUGUGCAGUUGAAUGCACAUGCGUACUCCAUCCGUUUUCCUCCCUCUGCCCCAGGCACUGGCAACCCAUGCUACGUCACUGGCCAGAGGCAAAAGUGGGUGAAGCAACCAAUGGGACUCCCAUAUUUAUACAGCAGGCUACAUUCCAGCCAUGAAAAAGUCAGAGGAUUCUACACACACACUUUUGUUCAUCCAGGCAAGCAAGAGGCAUUAUCAUAGUUCAAUGACACAUUCUAGCCAGGCAAAAGUGCUCAAGGAGGGCACAGAGAAGGGCUGGUAUGGGGUUUGGCCUGGGAGGGAGCACUGCCUGAGGAGAAUUUCAAGGGCCAAACAGAAUGACAUGGAGGGCCCUGUUUGGUCCCUGGGCCUGAGGGACUCCACCCCUGACAUAAAUGUAGUCAAGGGGAGCAAGCAGGAGAGAGAGAGAGAGAGUUUAUUAUGUGGUUACUGUCGUAUGUUGGUAUGGGGAAACUGGACUAGGGUUUUCAUGUCAUGUUUCAUUCAGAAUUUCAUCCUUCUCAAGAACAUUUCAGAAAGGCCCACUAGGCCUCUGGCUGUGGCGAUGUGGAUAAAAAUACAAGCACAUGCUUACAUCAUGUGCAUUUCAAACAGAUCAAAUGUUCAGAUCAAACCUUGCAUAACAGAUCAAACCUCGCAUAAAGCAAUGCUAAUGUUCUUUUUUAAAUAAGGAAAUAAUCACAGACUCCAAAAUAACUAGAUAAUAUUAAUUGCUUCCUUUCUCUUUAUCUCUCCCCACCCCCCGCUCUCCCUCUGUUGAUAUUCUCUCUUUUUGCAGGUUUGGUGAAAAAGAAAUACUUUCAUGCCUUACAUACAGUCCAGCUCUGGCCUUAUGUUUUGCUUAUGUCUAUCUAUAUUAUCAGAUAUUGAAGGAAACCAACGGGGACUGGGAAGAGAGAAGUUACAAGAUUUUGUACAGCCAGCUAUCAGAGUUGCAAAUGCCCUGGAGAAGAGAUGCUGUUUCUAAAAUAUUCUCAGGAAAAGAUACAUCUACCCAUCUCAUGUUAUCCCUCAAGCAGUUGUUCUCCCCCUGCAUAUACCAAACCACACAACGAGGCCGGCUAGCGGAGAAACCAGCAAUCCACAAGCCAGCAGAGUUUCAAAUUAUUUUCCUUUCCCACCCAGUAUUCAUCAAUUGAAAAUCAGCAAAUUUCAUGAAAUGUCCACAUGCCCUCAGUGGCAACAGGAACAAUCUGGUUUUGAAUCUUCUGGAUUUCUUUUACUCAAAUUUAGAUGCUUUGGUGUGUUUUGAUAUUGGUGUUUCACUGAUAUUUAAUAGACUGUACGAUUAGAGAUUUUAAAAGUAUUAAGCAGUACAGAAAGGCUUUUAAAUAAUUUUUUUUUCCAAAGCUAGCCAUUUCAUAUUCAUGGGUGGAAUGAGGGGGCAGUUGCACCCAUCUUGAGGAACACAAUUCCAAUAUUUCCAGCUUUUUUAAAAAAAAAGAGAGAAAAAGGUUCCAGCAUUUCUAGAACAUGAGAUAUGAGGGAAAAUAUACAGGUACUAUCCUUCACAUAUUUUUGCAAGAAACUAGCUUUACUCUCCCUCCCCCACAGUGGAAAAAUCCCUAUGGACACACAUCUUCCUAUCUUCUCCACAGAAUGUUUCUGUGUAGAGCUAACUGAAGAUUUGCAGAUAUUAUUUCUUUUUAAAAUUCUGAGAUUUCCCGCUGCCUCUUUUUCUUGUUCAGCGACAAACUGGUCAAUUUGCCGAAUUUUCUCUGGAUAUUCCCCACCAUUUCCUUUGGUGAUGGCUGUCGUUCUUUUCUCCCUCACAGAAUGAUACUAGGUUCAGGGCAUUGUAAAGUAUUCAAAAUGGUUGACAAAUUGCAGGCCGAAAGGAGGAAGACAUUUGAAACAGAGAUUUGCAACCGACACAAUUAAUGCAACAAUAAACAACCAACAUUGCAUAACACCCCAGAAAACAUUCCUCAAUCAAAUCAGGAUGGAUAC